rnacentral:rRNA from 1 species
CAGCCGCCGCGGUAAUACGAAGGGGGCUAGCGUUGUUCGGAUUUACUGGGCGUAAAGCGCACGUAGGCGGAUCGAUCAGUCAGGGGUGAAAUCCCAGAGCUCAACUCUGGAACUGCCUUUGAUACUGUCGAUCUGGAGUAUGGAAGAGGUGAGUGGAAUUCCGAGUGUAGAGGUGAAAUUCGUAGAUAUUCGGAGGAACACCAGUGGCGAAGGCGGCUCACUGGUCCAUUACUGACGCUGAGGAGCGAAAGCGUGGGGAGCAAACAGGAUUAGAUACCCCCGUAGUCCCUGUCUCUUAUAC